GUAUUACUGUAUCGAUGUGAUAUUCUUCACAGUACCCCUGAGAGAAAGUAAGGAAAACAGGAAUGAUUAUUCCAUUUUUCAGCUCAAUAAUUGAGUCUCAGAGAGAAGACUUGGCCCAUAAAAAAUUGGUAACAGCUGAAAACAUCCGUUUCCACCAGACCAGGCAGAAAUUGAGAUCAUUAUCUGUAUUAACAGGGUUUACAUUCAAGAGGGAGAACAUAAUUCAAGGAACUGAGAGAUUUAGGACUCAGCCUCUUAUUCCUUAUUUUAAAAUUUUUGUACACAUUUCUAAAGUCAAGUAUCUGUAGUGGGAGGCCACCCUAUAUGCCCAAGAUUAAAUAGUCUUUGAAAAGAAAAGACUUCACCUCUCCACCCCAGUCUUUGGCCUUCUGGUUAUGGAAGAUGAACUUUAGAUAAUCUUUCAUUGCAGUAAGAACAAGUUGGAUUUAGAGCAAAUUUAGCUCAAACUGUGUGGCAAGUUUUUCCUACUAUAAUUUAUUGUUUCUCAGCAGCUAUUUAGAAUCCCAGUAGAGAUCCUUUUUCUAACAGUUGUGGCGUAUACAGAGUACAUAACGUAUUCUUGUCUCUUUUGAUUAAGAAGAGUGAGACCUGUAUUUAAAAACUCUUACUACCAGUGAGCCUUGAAAAACAUAAAUGGUUUUUUUUUUCCCUUCAGGAUAAUCCAGUGAAGUAACAACUAUGUCAUAAUACUAACUGGUACAAGCAGACUGAGUAAUUGGGUUAACAAGAGAAGAGUCUAACCUUUUCAGUGUUUGUCAUAGUACCACUGUAAAGUGUUUUAAGGGUAAAUAGUGAUUGGCAGCCACACCUGGCUUAACUGCCAUCACAUGGAAGGGAGUAAAAUUAGUUAACAUGGAAUUGUAAUUUCAGGGAUUACCAAAAAAAUGAACUUAAUUAGGAAAAGGAGAAGGAAUGGGAACGAAGAAGACAGUCAUCUCCUCCAGACCAAACGGAGUAGCAGAAACCCUGUCUUUCAGGACUCCUGGGAUACAGAGUAUUUGGAAGUUUCUCCAUUUGCAAAAAUGGUCAUACUGUGUGCUUCUCAGGCUGGAAGAGUCAAUUUGUGAACUGCUUCCCUGGAUUAAAUGUUAUAUCUGGAGAAACUUUAGCACCAACAAUCCCUUUGUGUAUUUUUUCUCCUUCCCCUUCUCUCUCCCCAGUCCUUCCCUCCUUUCAGCAAUAUUCAGUAUUUUCCUAGUAUCCUUUAUGCUCUGAAGUCUUCGACGAGUCAAACUGGUUUGAGCUGAGCAGUGUUAAUAGCUUAAAGAGUGCUUUUAUAGGGGGUAAAUUGAGUCUUUCCCACCUGUGGCAGUUAAAUCGCCUCUUAUGCUUUGUUCCCAGGAAUAGGGAGCAAUCUGUCCACAAAACUGCUGCCCUAACUUUCUUUUAAGGAGUCUUUAAAGUAUCUUUGAGUAUGGCAUGCUCUUGGCUGGCUGGAUACCAGCCUCAGUUUCUCACUGGAAAAACAAGAAGAAACUGAGGCCAGAGCUGCCUUGGGAGAACUCAGGUUUACUUUAACUUACACCAGUUUUUUCCAAACCACUUUGGCCAUGCAAAGCUUUUGUACCUGAAAUAUAUUGACAGACAGUUGUUUUUGUAUAACUUUGUCUUUCUUUCAAGAAAGCAUUUAAUUCUUGAGGACUGGUUGCACAACUCUAUAUAAUAUGUCCAAAAAUAACUGGCAUAAGAACAAAAGAUAACUGAUAAGACUUAUCUUAACAAGAAAUAAAUUGACGGAACGUACAGGUGUUGAUCCA
rnacentral:lncRNA from 1 species